UACGUAGGGGGCGAGCGUUGUCCGGAUUUACUGGGCGUAAAGGGUGAGUAGGCGGUUAUGUAUGUCAGGUGUAAAAGGCGUAGGCUUAACUUACGUUAGCACUUGAAACUGCAUAACUUGAGUGCAGGAGAGGUAAGUGGAAUUCCUAGUGUAGCGGUGAAAUGCGUAGAUAUUAGGAGGAACACCAGUGGCGAAGGCGACUUACUGGACUGUAACUGACGCUGAGUCACGAAAGCGUGGGUAGCAAACAGGAUUAGAUACCCUGGUAGUCCACGCUGUAAACGAUGAGUGCUAGGUGUUGGGUAGCGAUAUUCAGUGCCGAAGUAAACACAAUAAGCACUCCGCCUGGGGAGUACGGUCGCAAGACUGAA
rnacentral:rRNA from 1 species